rnacentral:lncRNA from 1 species
GAACAAAUUCCAAGCUGGAAAAUAUAGCAUUUGGAUCGCUCAAGGUUACCAAUAAAAGGUCAAUUAUUUGAGAUGUCAUCAAAACGCACAGACAUUUCUUUUCUUCUUAACUGCUAAUCAGCGCUGGUUCUUAUACAUCUUUCCAAAAAAGUAAACGAAAUCAAAGGAAUACCGAUUUUAACUACACCUACUCAAUUUGUCAGGAAUAUUUCAUCGAUUUUCGUUGCUUUAAUGCUGUUUGACAUUUUUGAAGAGAGAAACGAAUCAAAUUGGAUCAAAGAAGGCUAUACAUAAGAUCGAGGGUUUUUUCUCGUGAGGGUUUUGCUCACAUUUACCAGACAUAGGUUUGAGUUUUGCGA